rnacentral:rRNA from 1 species
UGCCAGCAGCCGCGGUAACACGGGGGGCGCAAGCGUUAUUCGGAAUUAUUGGGCGUAAAGGGCGCGUAGGCGGUCUUGUCAGUCAGGUGUGAAAGCCCGGGGCUCAACCCCGGACGUGCAUUUGAAACAGCCACACUUGAGUACUGGAGAGGAAAGGGGAAUUCCUGGUGUAGAGGUGAAAUUCGUAGAUAUCAGGAGGAACACCGGUGGCGAAGGCAUCUCUCUGGGCCGAUAUUGACGCUGAGGCGCGAAGGCGUGGGGAGCAAACAGGAUUAGAUA